CACGUAGGAGGCAAACGUUAUCCGGAUUUACUGGGCGUAAAGUGCGUGUAGGUGGUUCUGUAAGUAGGGCGUGAAAGCUCCCGGCUCAACUGGGAGAGGCCGUUCUAAACUGCAGAGCUAGAGGAUGGUAGAGGGAGGUGGAAUUCCGGGUGUAGCGGUGGAAUGCGCAGAUAUCUGGAGGAACACCAGUGGCGAAGGCGGCCUCCUGGACCAUUCCUGACACUCAGACGCGAAAGCUAGGGUAGCAAACGGGAUUAGAUACCCGUGUAGUCCCUGA
rnacentral:rRNA from 1 species